rnacentral:rRNA from 1 species
UACGUAGGGUGCGAGCGUUAAUCGGAAUUACUGGGCGUAAAGCGUGCGCAGGCGGUGAUGUAAGACAGGUGUGAAAUCCCCGGGCUUAACCUGGGAACUGCAUUUGUGACUGCAUAGCUAGAGUACGGUAGAGGGGGAUGGAAUUCCGCGUGUAGCAGUGAAAUGCGUAGAUAUGCGGAGGAACACCGAUGGCGAAGGCAAUCCCCUGGACCUGUACUGACGCUCAUGCACGAAAGGCGUGGGGAGCAAACAGG